AUGGGCGAGGUGCGGGGAAGGCCUGCAGGCUGCUGGGGCUCAGCAGGGGGGCUUGACGAUUGGUUACAGUUGGCAGGGAGGCAUGUCAGAGGGGGCCUCCCCAGCCCUCUCCUGCCGCCGCCUCCCUUUGUCCAGCGCCGGGCACUCCGGGGAACACCAGUCGCGCCUGCGCGCUGCGCUCCCUGCCACCGCCCCGCUGUCCCCGUCUCCCCGCUUGGCGGGCACCGGGUUGUGCGCGACGCAGUGGACGGAUACUGGGCUGAGCGCGGGACUCCCGGUUCCAUAGAGAUACGGGGCGGGUGGGGGGGAGCAAGGACGAGUGCCUGCCUGGACCCCCCCUGGCUCCUGGCUCCCAAGGAGUCGAGGGGAACAUCUCUACCGCCCUGCAGUGCCAGCAGCUCAGUGCCACAUCUUUCCCUGCCAAAGUGAAGACACGGCGCCACAACAUCCUGAGGAGAGAGAGCCUUGAUUUUUCUGUUGGGGACCCACUUUUCCCCUAUAGGAGAAACGACCAUCAAUCACAAUACCUUCCCCUAUCCUGGCUAAAGGGAGGUUGGAUCCCUGACUGAAGGUAGGCCUAUCAGAUACUCUUGACCUGGAAUUUCAGUGUGGAGAGAAGUGACACAAAAACUGAGAAUGGUUGGAAAUCAUUUACCCUGGAGGCAGUGAAACUAAGGAAACUGCAUUAUUCACAAAACCUGAAUUCCUAGAGCUUGUCUUGUCCUUGAUAAAGCAGAUCCUUCAGCCUCUCCUUCUGUGAGCUACUCGAUAUCCUUCUGAUAAAUUCAUCUGUUUGCUUAAGCUAUCCAGUCAGCUUCUGUUAACCUCAUCACAGAAUUUUGACAAAAAUAGUUUCUCAGAUGCUUCAGGCUCCAAUAUGCAAUGCUAAAGGUCA
rnacentral:lncRNA from 1 species